UACAGAGGUGGCAAGCGUUGUUCGGAAUUACUGGGCGUAAAGGGCGCGUAGGCGGCCUUCUAAGUCAGACGUGAAAUCCCUCAGCUUAACUGGGGAACUGCGUCUGAUACUGGAUGGCUUGGAUUUGGGAGAGGGAUGCGGAAUUCCAGGUGUAGCGGUGAAAUGCGUAGAUAUCUGGAGGAACACCGGUGGCGAAGGCGGCAUCCUGGACCAACAUUGACGCUGAGGAGCGAAAGCCAGGGGAGCAAACGGG
rnacentral:rRNA from 1 species